GUGGGUAUAGCUCAGUGGCAGAGCAUUCGGUGGCAGAGCAUUCGACUGUAGAUCGAGAAGUCCCUGGUUCAAAGCCGGUUGCCCCCC